GACGAACGCUGGCGGCGUGCUUAACACAUGCAAGUCGAACGGUGAACCUCUUCGGAGGGGAUCAGUGGCGAACGGGUGAGUAACACGUGGGCAACCUGCUCCCGGAUCUGUGAUAACUCCAUGAAAUAGGGGCUAAUACCGGAUGUUCACCGCUUCCCGCCUGGGUGGUGGUGAAAAGGGUUUCCGGCUGGGGAUGGGCCCGCGGCCGAUCAGCCUGUUGGUGGGGUAGUGGCCUACCAAGGCGGCGGAGGGUAGCCGGCCUGUGUGGGUGACCGGCCACACAGAGACGGAGAGACAGCCCGCACUCCUGCGGGAGGCAGGAGGGGGGGGUGUAUCUCGAAGGGCGGACGCCUGACGGAUCGACGCCGGGUGGGUGAGGGCUGCCUUCGUGUGGGUAGCCACUUUCUGCUGGGACGGAGCGCAAGUGACGUUACCGACAGAUGAAGCACGGGCCAACUACGG
rnacentral:rRNA from 1 species